rnacentral:rRNA from 1 species
UACGAAGGACCCGAGCGUUAUCCGGAUUUAUUGGGUUUAAAGGGUGCGUAGGCGGAUUUACAAGUCAGUGGUGAAAUCCCUCAGCUCAACUGAGGAACUGCCAUUGAAACUGUUUAUCUUGAGUACAUUUGAGGCGGGCGGAAUGUGUCAUGUAGAGGUGAAAUUCUUAGAUAUGACACAGAACACCAAUUGCGAAGGCAGCUCGCUAAACUGUAACUGACGCUGAGGCACGAAAGCGUGGGGAUCAAACGGG